UACGGAGGGUGCGAGCGUUGUCCGGAAUCAUUGGGCGUAAAGGGCGCGUAGGUGGCCCCUCAAGCGUGCGGUGAAAGUCAGGGGCUCAACCCCUGAUCGGCCGUGCGAACUGGGGAGCUUGAGCACUGUAGAGGCAGGCGGAAUUCCGGGUGUAGCGGUGGAAUGCGUAGAGAUCCGGAAGAACACCGGUGGCGAAGGCGGCCUGCUGGGCAGUUUUGCUGACACUGAGGAGCGAAAGCAUGGGGAGCGAACAGGG
rnacentral:rRNA from 1 species